AGAACUCCCUGAAAGCUCAUCAUCGGGGCCAUGUGCUGAGUGCUGGCCACUCUUUGGUCCGUGGGAAGGUCUGAGACUACGGUCUCCCUGAGCAGGGAGCGGGGGUAAGUUCUCAGAGAGCAGGGCAGACUGGGCAGGAGACACCCUGAGUGGGUGGAUGCCUCUCUCCCUCGCCAGAGCUCAAGACAGACUCAUGGCCUGCUGCAGGAGGGGGGAAAGGAACAGGGUUGGGGCUGCAGGAAAAGAAACAGCCACCAAGAAAACACAGGGUGAGGGAAGGGAGUGUAGCUCUCACAGUCAGCUGCACUGGGCAACUGGCAUCUCAAAGUGAAAGCACUUUCUCUGCU
rnacentral:RNase_P_RNA from 2 species